rnacentral:rRNA from 1 species
CGUAAGGCGCCGAAUGAGUCAUUAAAAAAAUUAACAUCAUCCGAUCCCUAGUCGGCAUAGUUUAUGGUUAAGACUACGACGGUAUCUGAUCGUCUUCGAUCCCCUAACUUUCGUUCUUGAUUAAUGAAAACAUCCUUGGCAAAUGCUUUCGCAGUAGUUAGUCUUCAAUAAAUCCAAGAAUUUCACCUCUGACAAUUGAAUACUAAUGCCCCCCAACUAUCCCUAUUAAUCAUUACGUCAAUCCCUAGAAACCAACUAAAAUAGGAUCGAACGUCCUAUUUCAUUAUUCCAUGCUAAUGUAUUCAAGCGUUAGCCUGCUUUAAACACUCUAAUUUUUCAAAGUAACAGUCCAGAUUCCCUGCAACACCAAAUUAAUGGCAUUACAGCUCAUCAGGAAGAGGAAUCAGUGAGACCAGUACGUACCGGUGGCACGACCAACCUACUGACCCCGAAA